GACGAACGCUGGCGGCGUGCCUAAUACAUGCAAGUAGAACGCACAGUUUAUACCGUAGCUUGCUACACCAUAAACUGUGAGUUGCGAACGGGUGAGUAACGCGUAGGUAACCUGCCUGGUAGCGGGGGAUAACUAUUGGAAACGAUAGCUAAUACCGCAUAAUAUUGAUUAUUGCAUGAUAAUUGAUUGAAAGAUGCUAUUGCAUCACUACCAGAUGGACCUGCGUUGUAUUAGCUAGUAGGUGAGGUAACGGCUCACCUAGGCGACGAUACAUAGCCGACCUGAGAGGGUGAUCGGCCAAACUGGGACUGAGACACGGCCCAGACUCCUACGGGAGGCAGCAGUAGGGAAUCUUCGGCAAUGGACGAAAGUCUGACCGAGCAACGCCGGGUGAGUGAAGAAGGGUUUCGGAUCGUAAAGCUCUGUUGUAAGAGAAGAACGGGUGUGAGAGUGGAAAGUUCACACUGUGACGGUAUCUUACCAGAAAGGGACGGCUAACUACGUG
rnacentral:rRNA from 1 species